UACGAAGGGGGCUAGCGUUGCUCGGAAUCACUGGGCGUAAAGGGUGCGUAGGCGGGUCUUUAAGUCAGGGGUGAAAUCCUGGAGCUCAACUCCAGAACUGCCCUUGAUACUGAGGAUCUUGAGUUCGGGAGAGGUGAGUGGAACUGCGAGUGUAGAGGUGAAAUUCGUAGAUGUCGCAAGAACACCAGUGGCGAAGGCGGCUCACUGGCCCGAUACUGACGCUGAGGCACGAAAGCGUGGGGAGCAAACAGG
rnacentral:rRNA from 1 species